rnacentral:lncRNA from 1 species
AUGGGCAAUAUGAACGUCCUCCGAACACAAAACUUGAGCUGUGCUACAGAGGAUAAUGACAUGAAGCUUCUUCAGAAGCUAACCUUAUUCCAGGAGAAAGAAGGGGACUCACUGGAUGAUGAGCUUCACAUCUAUGCAGAGGAGGGGAACUCAGACACCACCUCAGAGCUGGAAGCAAUCAGUAUUUCUGAAGAGGGUUCAUUUCAGGAUGCACUGAAAGAUCUGGGUCCAAAGUUUCACCAACUGGCUUCUAUAUACAUGACAGCCAAGCACACCACUUUAUGAUCAUUUCUUUAAGGUUAUACAGUUGGUCUGGUGAAGGAGCCCAAAGUGUGCCCUGGUCAGCAUACAAUUCAUCUAAAGGUCUCUGACAUACAUGGAGCUGUUUGCAACCACAGUGUGACUCCAUGUGGCUGCACUGUGACACUAAACUGUUGAAUUCGCCAGAACUCUGAAAUAAAAGUUGGCCACUAUGCUUAAUGCAUGACAGUUUCUUCACUCUUACUACUUAUAUGUAAGGAACACGGCAUUUGCUUCACCAUAGGAGCAUUGUGAUACACACUACCACUCAAAAAUUUGGACACACCUUCUCACUUAAUGGUUUUUCUUUAUUUAAUGACUAUUUACUUUGUAGAUUCUCACUGAAGGCAUCAAAACUAUGAAUGAACACAUACAGAAUUAUGUAGCAAACAAAAAAGUGUGAAAUAACUCAAAACAUAUUUUAGAUUCUUUGAAAUAACCACCCUCAUCCCAAACCAUCUUGAUUGAGUUUAGGUCAGGUGACAGUGGAGGCCAGGCCAUUUGGCACAACACUCCAUCACUCUCCUUCUUGGUCAAAUAGCCUUUACACAACCUGGAGGUGUGUUUGGGGUCAUUAUCCUAUUGAAAAAAAAAUGAUGAUCCAACUAAACCUAACCGGAUGGGAUGCCAUGUCGCUGCAGGAGCCCAAGGUGGGAACCAUGCAUGUGGAUUCUGAAAUGCACCAUUCUACACAAGGAGAAAAAUACUUUUGUCCAUCCAUCCAUCCAUCCAUCCAUCCAUCUUCUUUCACUUAUCUGGUCCAGGUCACUGGGGCAGCAGUGUUGGUUUCUUUUCUCUAUGUUUUUCUUCAUAUAUCAGAUAACCUGAAAUCUAAUAUCCACUGACAAUGACGGCACCCACGAGGCAGAACACCAGAGAGUUGUUUUUAUUUCUUCUUCUUCUGUAUUUUUUUCCUUUGUAACUUUAAGACCGGAGCUGAAUAAACGUGAUUUUUUUGUGUGCAGUUUGAGGAUUUGGCCAUUAUGAACUAGUUCCACAAAGUCAUUUAAGAUAAGAUAACAGAUAAGAUAACCUUUAUUAGUCCCACACGUGGGGAAUUUAAUUUGUCCUCAUGCUGCCUCAUAAGGUUGGUAGUCUCUUUAGUAUGCCAUGUCUGCUACACUGCAUUACUAUCAUUUCCUCCCAGAGUAGUUAGUUAGAUCAUUGUGCACAAAAUUUACUAUUAGAUUAUUGUAUUACAGGUAUAGUCUUUGCUUAUUAUAGGAAAACUUGUGUAACUUCUGUGAUUCUUGCAAGAAAUCUGCUGUCAUUCACACAAACAAGUCUUAAAACCCAGAUGCACCAUUUUAAUGCAUGCACUGUUAGAACCUGCAUGCACGAGACAGUGCUCAAAGCAAGCGUGUGCAUUUGCUUUCUGCAGUAAGUUGAAAUUUGUUUUGCAUAUUUUUCACACUUAAAUGUGUCAGUCCUGUGUGGAAAAAGUAAUUGCCCCCUAAAUAUAACAGGUUGAGCCACUGUUGGCAGAAACUGCAACUGCAAUCAAACAUUUGUGAUAACUUUCAAUGAGUCUUCUACGUUACUGUGAAGGAAUUUGGCCUCUGCAUUCAGCCACACUACAUGCUUUUUGAACAUGAACAAUGCUAAAGCCUCUAAAUCUGCUUUCAGUCUAGACUUUCACCAGACCACACCAUAACCUUGAUUUUGUUUCGUUCUUUGUGCCAUUAGGAGGUGAACUUGCUGGUGUGUUUUGAAUCAUUGUCCUGCUGCAUAACUGAAGUUAUGUGCACAUGAGCUUCAGAGCAUAAAUUGAUGUCCGUACAUUCUCCUUCAGGAGUUUCAGGUAGAGAGCUGAACUCAUGUAUAAUGUAAGAGUAAAUACCAAUGGUUUUGACCUGUAACUUAUGAUACGUCUGUGAGAUAUCUUGAUGAAUGCUCAAUCAUCCAGGUAGGAAAAUCCCAAAAAGAUGAUUCUGUUCAUCUGGACGUUUCCAGUAGUACAGCACUGUUAAUUUUAUGUGACCUCUUUGUGAUUAAGAGGUUAAUAGUGUGCAAUGUGAUUAGUUUCAAAGUUGGAUCCAACCUCAGCAUGUCAGAGGGCUGUGGCGGCAGACCUUGUGUUAAUACUGUGGACCAAAAAGAAGACACUCGAGGCAGGAAAUGAACAAAAAAACGAGCCGUUUAUUGAGGCUGAGAAAAACAUGCAAAACAAAGGGCAAAAGGGAACUAAGACGAAACUAAGAAUAACCUAAACUGGGAAAACUAAAACUAAACACUAAGAACAUGGAACAUGGAAACCUGGGCUUGGGAAAGAAAACCUGAAACAUGAACUAUUGAUAAGCAUGAUAAGCAGAUGACCUGCCGAUGAACAAAGGCUAAAACACAAAAUAUAUACAAGCGAAGUGGAAACACAUGGGGAACACAGCUGGGAUGAAUAGACAUAAUGACACAGAGGAAGCAAAAAUUACACAGUGAACAUAGGACGAGAGACUGUCAAAAUAAAACAGGAUUCACGCUGAAACACAGACUAAGACAGACAGUUUGAGGCUGGAGGAAAGAAGCAGGCAUGGGGAUGAGACAGACAGAAGAGAUAGAGAGGGUGAGAGACAUGACGGGCUGGCGAGAACACACAUGACAGACAGGGGAGACAUGGAAUGAAGCACAAGGAGAAGAACAUGGGAACAGAAAAACAGAGAUGAAACACAAGGGCAUGACUAGGACCUGAAGAGCGAGGGAUCAAGAGACACUGAGGAGUUCACGGACUCUAACAUGGGACACAGUGAUGAGACAGACAAGAAAACAUGAACCUGAAAUUACAAAUAAACUCUGGGACAUGAAAAUGACUAAAUUCAAUACUAAAUUGUCCCAAACUAAAUGGGUGACCGUGGUUCAGGGGGUUGGGAAGCUCAUCUUCUAACUGGAAGGUUGCCAGUUCGAUCCCCAGCUCUGUCUGUCUUGGUUGUUGUGUCCUUGGGCAAGGACACCUACCAUGGUGAUGACCAGCCUCACUUCUGUCAGUCUGCCCCAGGGCAGCUGUGGCUACAACUGUAGCUUGCCUCUACCAAUGUGAGAAUGAAUGAAUAGUGGAAUUGUAAAGUGCUUUGAGGGUCUGGAAAAGCACUAUAUAAAUGCAAUCUGUUAUUAUCAUUAUAACACAAAGAAUCACAAACAUACAAUAAACUCAAAAUGCUGGGUCAAAUGACCCAGAACUGUGACACGGCAUGGCUGGUUUUUAAAAAAUCGAAGACUGAGAAUGCUCAACUCAGUUUGUUUUCAGAAGGAGUUCAUAAAUCAGUGUGGAGUCUGAAGAGUACAAGUUUCCUCUAAAAGCAGCAAAGACAUUACCAAUCAUUCCUUUCUGCAGCAAACCACUUUCUGCUGUAGAAACAUUUGAGCAUUAAGGUUUGAAAAAGUCAG